AUUGAACGCUGGCGGCAGGCUUAACACAUGCAAGUCGAGCGGAGAGAGGUAGCUUGCUACUGUUCUUAGCGGCGGACGGGUGAGUAAUGCUUAGGAAUCUGCCUAUUAGUGGGGGACAACAUUUCGAAAGGAAUGCUAAUACCGCAUACGUCCUACGGGAGAAAGCAGGGGAUCUUCGGACCUUGCGCUAAUAGAUGAGCCUAAGUCGGAUUAGCUAGUUGGUGGGGUAAAGGCCUACCAAGGCGACGAUCUGUAGCGGGUCUGAGAGGAUGAUCCGCCACACUGGGACUGAGACACGGCCCAGACUCCUACGGGAGGCAGCAGUGGGGAAUAUUGGACAAUGGGCGCAAGCCUGAUCCAGCCAUGCCGCGUGUGUGAAGAAGGCCUUAUGGUUGUAAAGCACUUUAAGCGAGGAGGAGGCUACUUUAGUUAAUACCUAGAGAUAGUGGACGUUACUCGCAGAAUAAGCACCGGCUAACUCUGUGCCAGCAGCCGCGGUAAAAC
rnacentral:rRNA from 1 species